rnacentral:rRNA from 1 species
GCGGAUGAUCAUUAGAAAUAUCUGGGAUGCUCAAUAUGAGUUCCCAACAAAACACAUUCAUGCGUAUUCUUCCGUGUGUUUCCCCAGGCCAAUGGCCAGUACGUACCAUCUUGGCCCAUAACAGGGUAUCCAGCUGGUGUACAGCCGCGUGUGUCUGGGAAGGCCCAAAUUGGCAAAACUUUAUGUUAACUUACUGUCUGACAAGGCCAUGUGCCCCUGUAUUUUAAAUAUUUUAAAACUUUCAACAACGGAUCUCUUGGCUCUCGCAUCGAUGAAGAACGCAGCGAAAUGCGAUAAGUAAUGUGAAUUGCAGAAUUCAGUGAAUCAUCGAAUCUUUGAACGCACAUUGCGCCCUUUGGUAUUCCUUAGGGCAUGCCUGUUCGAGCGUCACUAAAAACCCCAUCACAUUAUGUGUGGUAUUGGCAGAAGUGGGUACUCCCACCCUGCUGGAAUCAAUAGGCUGGAAAAGUAGAUCGUAGCAACAGACUUUCAGAGUGUUUUGAAAUGCUAAAUUAGUUUGAAGCUGGUCGGAACCCCAGGCCAUUUGACCCCCAUUCUGCACAAAGCAGUAAGGUUGACCUCGGAUCAGGUAGGGAUACCCGCUGAACUUAAGCAUAUCAAU